UACGUAGGGUGCGAGCGUUAAUCGGAAUUACUGGGCGUAAAGCGUGCGCAGGCGGUUUUGUAAGCCAGAUGUGAAAGCCCCGGGCUUAACCCGGAAAUGGCAUUGGAAACUGCAUGGCUAGAGUGUUGGAGGGGGGACUGGAAUUCUCGGUGUAGCAGUGAAAUGCGUAGAUAUCGAGAGGAACACCAGUGGCGAAGGCGAGUCCCUGGACAACGACUGACACUGAGGCACGAAAGCUAGGGGAGCAAACAGG
rnacentral:rRNA from 1 species